GACGAACGCUGGCGGCGUGCCUAAUACAUGCAAGUAGAACGCUGAAGGAGGAGCUUGCUUCUCUGGAUGAGUUGCGAACGGGUGAGUAACGCGUAGGUAACCUGCCUGGUAGCGGGGGAUAACUAUUGGAAACGAUAGCUAAUACCGCAUAAGAGUAGAUGUCGCAUGACAUUUGCUUAAAAGGUGCAAUUGCAUCACUACCAGAUGGACCUGCGUUGUAUUAGCUAGUUGGUGAGGUAACGGCUCACCAAGGCAACGAUACAUAGCCGACCUGAGAGGGUGAUCGGCCACACUGGGACUGAGACACGGCCCAGACUCCUACGGGAGGCAGCAGUAGGGAAUCUUCGGCAAUGGACGGAAGUCUGACCGAGCAACGCCGUGUGAGUGAAGAAGGUUUUCGGAUCGUAAAGCUCUGUUGUAAGAGAAGAACGAGUGUGAGAGUGGAAAGUUCACACUGUGACGGUAUCUUACCAGAAAGGGACGGCUAACUACGUG
rnacentral:rRNA from 1 species